rnacentral:rRNA from 1 species
UACGGAGGGUGCAAGCGUUAUCCGGAUUCACUGGGGUUAAAGGGUGCGUAGGUGGGCUGGUAAGUCAGUGGUGAAAUCUCCGAGCUUAACUCGGAAACUGCCAUUGAUACUAUCAGUCUUGAAUACCGUGGAGGUCAGUAGAAUAUGUCAUGUAGCGGUGAAAUGCUUAGAUAUGACAUAGAAUACCAAUUGCGAAGGCAGCUGGCUACACGAAUAUUGACACUCAGGCACGAAAGCGUGGGGAGCAAACAGG